AGGAAGGGAUUUGGAUACGGAGAUCGUAAAUGAGAAUUUGAUCGAAUGAGAAACAAACUCACAAAGCUAACGCAUGAAUGGAACACUUGUCACGAAGCUGGACAUUUACUACUGCGGAAUAAAAUAUUGCCCGUUAGUUACAGGAAGUAAAUAGUUCUUUGCUAACGACAUUAAACACCGAUGUCAAUGUAUUUUUUUCCAUAACGUAUUCCGUUUCUGAUCACUUUAACUUCACGUGGCGAAGGUAACCAGUUCUUUACGAAUACUACUUCAUUUUCCUAUUUUUGUUUUUUGUGACAAGAGACUCCUUAUACAGAUAUAAUAUUUUUCGACAGAAUUGGAACAACCGACAAAGAAUGACCAACAAGAAACACAAAGGAAACUGGAUUCGAGGGGACUGAACGUUAACCUUGGACUUUGAACGGAGCAGGAUUGGAGCUUCAAAAAUCCAGGCUAUCUGCCACCACAGCUGUAUCUCAACCCCUGUCUCGGUACCCUC
rnacentral:lncRNA from 1 species